UACGUAGGGUGCGAGCGUUGUUCGGAAUUAUUGGGCGUAAAGAGCUCGUAGGCGGUUCGAUAAGUCGGACGUGAAAUCUCCACGCUCAACGUGGAGGGGCCGUUCGAUACUGUCGUGACUCGAGUCCGGUAGGGGAGUGUGGAAUUCCCGGUGUAGCGGUGAAAUGCGCAGAGAUCGGGAGGAACACCCGUAGCGAAGGCGGCACUCUGGGCCGGUACUGACGCUGAGGAGCGAAAGCGUGGGGAGCAAACAGG
rnacentral:rRNA from 1 species